UCAGUUUUCCCACUCUGGGGCUGUGCUGGGCUCAUUGGUUCCCAAGCCUCGCAGUGUCUUGCCCAUCUCUUCUUCGCUUCCUGCUGCCCUCAGGACUGAAGGUCCGGGUUGCAAAUCGAGGCAGGCGGACUCUCCCCGCUACCUUCUCCCUCUGGAUGAACCUCUCCCACGUCCACGUCCUGCUCUGCCUUACAGGUUUUGGAUUCUCCCAGACCUAAAUCUCACGCUAGACAAAUCACAGGAAGGUGGAAUGAACCUGUAACUACUUCCCGUAGCAGUCCCUUGCCAAGCGGCAGGAACUGUGCGUGUGUCUAUGUUGGGACGGAGGCUGGGAAAGCAGGAUGUUUCAGGCGGGCGAGGAGCUGAAACAGAGCUAGCAGAUCAAGCCCCUCCUGGAACGGAAAUCGUUCCAGUCCUGAACAUUAGAUGUGAAAUACUUGGAUAAAGAUUUGAGAACUAUGGUUCCACAAAUCAUUGUGCAGAGGGGCUUGUCUGGGUGCUCUCUGAAGAGGCAGAGAAGUCAAGUUACAAGGUCUUAAAGGAGCAGGGAGAGGGACCGCAGCAGGCAAGGCUGCAGAGACAUAUCAGCUGGGAGACAAGAGGAAACCAGGACACAAAGAGAAUGUACCAGGGAAGAAGCCUGGCUUACUCUCACUAUGUUGUGGGUGUGGAGAAAUAUGAGAUGCGCUUGUUACAGUAGCAAGGCCACCAGAGUUGCAGAGAAAGCAUUCAUGCUUGGAUCUCUGCUCCUCAAGGUCUAAGUUGAGAUGUCACUCUUUAUCAUGGGGACAUGCUCCUCCCAGUCCCAGGAGAGCCUGUGAAUCUUUAGCCCACUAAGAAGUUCCUGAAGCAAGCCUGAAGAUCUGUGUGUCACCCAACUUGUCCUUCAGAAGAACCCGGUGGAAGACCUUGAGUGACAUUCCUCUGUUGAGACGCAUGAGGGCGCUCAAGCCAACUGACGAUGUGGAGAUGGUUCCUAAAUUCAAAAAAAGAAAGAAAACAAAAGAAAAGGAAAAAAGAAAGAAGGAAACAAAAGAAAUAGAAAAAGAGAAAAAAAGAAAAACCCGUGAGCCUUGGCUCUGUUUGAUUGGUUAUUGUUUCAAGCCCGAGAAUGCUUCUUAGGGUGGGAGGUCUGUUUUUCUGUUGGGGACCAUCACCUGAGACCUCCAGGGAACUUGCAGGGCAUGGUUUGCACGUUUUGCAGCAUACACCGUUCCAGUGCUGUCCCCUGGAGAAACAAAACUUAGGCAAAUUAAAAUGUUUUUCUACA